rnacentral:rRNA from 1 species
UACGUAGGGGGCAAGCGUUGUCCGGAAUUAUUGGGCGUAAAGAGCGUGUAGGCGGUCCGGUAAGUCGGCUGUGAAAGUCCAGGGCUCAACCCUGGGAUGCCGGUCGAUACUGCCGGACUAGAGUUCGGAAGAGGCGAGUGGAAUUCCCGGUGUAGCGGUGAAAUGCGUAGAUAUUGGGAGGAACACCAGUGGCGAAGGCGGCUCACUGGACCGGAACUGACGCUGAGGCGCGAAAGCUGGGGGGAGCAAACGGG